GCCUCUUCAAAUUCACUCCUCUGUUCCCACACAGAUGAAUUUCCAACGCGCGGUCCUGAUACUCGUGGUGUUGUCAUUGUUGUCAGCGUUGGUAGUGGCAGCACCUAAUGAUCUCAGGCCGAGGAAGAGGUUCGGUUUCAGAAGUAGGUUUAACCGCAGGAAAUCCCUCGGCAUCUGGGCUCCGGACAUUGACAACCGCUUCUGGCAUGGCUAUGACAUAGACGGCUAUACCAGGAACGGAUGAGAGAGUCGAUCUUGGCGACUGAAACGCCUUGGAUGCUGUUGUUUCAUCUGUGACGCGUCGUUUCAUCUCAUGCAUCAUCUUCAGUCAAGUUCCUAGUCAUCAUUUCGUAUCGUAAAUGUCAGAAAGUCGGCGUACAUUGAAAAAAAGGCAGUUAGAUUUAAGUAAUGUUAUUAAGUGUAUGGAACAGAGUCGAGAGAUGUAAAGAAAGAUAUCAUGGUUCCUAUAUAUAUAUAUAUAUAUAUA